CCAUCCCUGGAGCUCCAGACUCCCGCGGCGCCUAGGCGGUUAACAAGGGACACUCUGCGCGCGCCGUCCUGUCCCUCCUGUCCCUUCGGGAGGCUGGGGAGGGGGAGGGGCAGGGCCCAAGCUGGGCCGCAGAGCCCGAGAUUGGAUCUUGAGGCUCCUAUCAUCUACCCACUAAUGGUGACCUAUUGAUUACUGUGCCAGGAGAGGCUGUGAAAAUGGGCACUUAAGGUUCAGUGCUUAGCAGACAAACCCAGGACAUAAGGUGACAGGUCAGUUCCACAACAGCUGCAUGUGGGGACCAGAGUGACAACCAUGGCAGAACCACUUCAGACACAGAGGACAUGCGCUUCUGAAUCCAGCAGAAGACAGUGUCUCAUGGAGGGAAGGGAAUGUUCUCAGACCAGAUCAGCAGGACUUUGAAGGAAUUGGAUUUCAAACAACAUACAAUUUUCUUUCUUAAAUAUGUCCCAUGCCCUGUUUGGAAUACACUCACAAUAAACUGGUCUAUUGCUAUGCA